AUCGCUGCCUCCAUCUUUUCAUCGUGUCAUCUGACACGUUAAGAAAAACUGUUUUGUGGCAAGUCCUACUUGCCAAGAGAGAUGAGAAGGGUUUUCAAGUUUAGGAUCUGAUACUUCUGGAAUGCCAGGGUGAAGACAAGAGGGAAGAGUCAACAAGACAACCAUAACUGUAACAUUUUGGAAGAAGGCAAUGGCAAUAUUCUUGAACAGUACUGUUGUCAACAAAACAAACAUGCCAAAGUCGCCAAGAAUUUCGCGUGACUGGAAGGAGUCUUGAUUUAUCAAAGGCACCCCACCCUGAUUACUCAACCAUUUGAGAUUGACUAUGGCUUUGAUUUCUCUCUUCAUCACUCUCAUCUCUCUUCAGAUUUUGUAAAGCAUUGACACCAACUCUCAUAUAGGGUCAGUUUGAAAAAAAGAAAGAAAAGAAAAGAAUUAGGGGAAACAAAAGGGUUGGCUUCAGUUUUGGCGGUUGCUUACCUCAGCAAUAAAAGUGGAUGGACGUCUUUGAUAUGGCAGUUUAUUUUUAAAAGGAGAAUGCUAAGAGCCCUGAAGAAGCCCUCGCUCUGCAAUUAAAGCCAGCCUUAUAGAGCGCAGCGAGAGAAGGCAGACAAUCCCCUUUGAAGUAAGUCCCACCUACAUGAUCAGUAAUGGCACAACAUCAAAGCAGAGCUGUUGCUUCCUUCUUCAAUUCAGCUACAGUGUCUGUCAAAGUUAGCGAAGUGAUCCAGCUAGUUUCCAACAAUGCAAACUCAUAGGAACGAAUCCCUUACCAAAGUUCUACUUCUAGUACAGGGGUGGGCAAUUAAUUUUUCCAAAGGGCCGCAUGAGAAACUGGGACUGAUGUGGAGGGCUGAACCAAUAGGACUGUGAAGGUGUGUAUGCACAAAUAUAUGUAAAUUGGAAAAAAAAAAUAGCAGUCACCUUCAAAAUAAAAGAAAUGCAGUUAUAGUGCAUGCAGGACAUA